rnacentral:rRNA from 1 species
AGCAGCCGCGGUAAUUCCAGCUCCAAUAGCGUAUAUUAAAGUUGUUGCAGUUAAAAAGCUCGUAGUUGAAUUUCGGGACCAAUUUGUUGGUCGUGCCUCGGUACGUACUGGUAUUAUUGGUUUCUCCCUCCUGAAGAACCUCGAUGUCAUUAAUUUGGUGUCGUGGGGAAUCAGGACUGUUACUUUGAAAAAAUUAGAGUGUUUAAAGCAGGCAUACGCUUGAAUACAUUAGCAUGGAAUAAUGAAAUAGGACGUUUGAUCCUAUUUUGUUGGUUUCUAGGAUCGACGUAAUGAUUAAUAGGGAUAGUUGGGGGCAUUAGUAUUCAAUUGUCAGAGGUGAAAUUCUUGGAUUUAUUGAAGACUAACUACUGCGAAAGCAUUUGCCAAGGAUGUUUUCAUUAAUCAAGAACGAAAGUUAGGGGAUCGAAGACGAUCAGAUACCGUCGUAGUCUUAACCAUAAACUAUGCCGACUAGGGAUCGGAUGAUGUUAAUUUUUAAUGACUCAUUCGGCGCCUUACG